rnacentral:rRNA from 1 species
UACGGGGGGGGCAAGCGUUGUUCGGAAUUACUGGGCGUAAAGGGCUCGUAGGCGGCCAACUAAGUCAUACGUGAAAUCCCUCGGCUUAACCGGGGAACUGCGUCUGAUACUGGAUGGCUUGAGUUCGGGAGAGGGAUGCGGAAUUCCAGGUGUAGCGGUGAAAUGCGCAGAUAUCAGGAGGAACACCGGUGGCGAAGGCGGUUCUCUGGGCAUUACCUGACGCUGAGGAGCGAAAGUGUGGGGAGCGAACAGG